rnacentral:lncRNA from 1 species
GUAACAUGACCAAUUCAUCGAUUGAACCUCCAAUUAAAGUUCAGCCUGGAUCAAAUGGGAUGCUUCUUCAAGAUCAACCGCAUGUUUCUGCACAUCCAUCUGCAUCCAAGAACAUGCUGCCGCCACCACCACCACCACCCAGGAACAUGCUACCCCCACCUCCCAAGAGCAUGCCUCCGCCACCACCUAAGUUUCCUUCAAAUGAGAUGUCAAGAAAUGAGGAUAGGUGUGCAGAUUUAAACAAGCCAAUGGCACCUCCGAAGAGCAUGCCACCCCCACCUCCCAAGAGCAUGCCUCCGCCACCGCCUAAGUUUCCUUCAAAUGAGAUGUCAAGAAAUGAGGAUAGGCGUUCAGAUUUAAACAAGCCAAUGGCACCUCCGAGAUCCUUGGACGUGAGUUCAGUCUCACCACCAAAUUUGUAUUCAGCACAAUUACCUUCAAAGGAGCCUAGAGUGGUCAAACCUGGUGGGGCAUCUGUUUCUGGUAAUGGUGGAACACUAUAAUAUCGUUGUUUUCUACAUAGUGACAGAACCAAUCCAUCUUUACUGAACUUCUUUGGCAUUCAUUUGCAGAUACUCUGCUGAAGCUUAUGGAUUAUGGAGAUGACGAUGAAGAGGACAACAUCGAUGAGACGAAUAGCGUGCUUGGAGGGAACCCAACUUCCAUUUCUGGGCAGAAACCGUUUUGGGCUGUGUGAAAAAUUAGUUUGUUCUGUACUCCAAUGCAAGUUGAGUGCAGGUAGAGAAUGUUGCCUGACCUGAUGCAUCAGCUCAAUGCCAUUACGCUAACAGUUCAUCGCUCAAUGUUCUCAGUGUGAGCUAUGUACAAUAUCCAGUUCCUUUUCUUUUGGGGUGGUUCAAAUGUCGACGUGAUGGUCAUUUUUCUUUUGACAUAUAAUCCUGUAGAAGCUAGUGUGAUCAGGCAGGGCAAGGGCACUUGUCUGCACGACAUUCAGAGUGCUGAUGAUGCUUAAGCCAAUUUUUGCUAGCUUCUCUUGGAUGCUGUAUGUUGCUGGUUUUGUUAGUUUGGUGACCUUGACUUGUAAGAUCAAUGCAACAAAACCAUGUGUUGAUACAUAAAUAAGAUCCCAUUUUGACUUCGCAAUUAUGUGCAUUAAUUAAUCUCUUGCAGCCUGCAAGUGUUGCAUCUGAAGUCCCUAGUCAUAACCACCAGAAUUGCCACAAGGAUAUUCCACGGUUAAACCAAAGCAUCUGCGGAUCCAGCUCCGAACACAACGAUUAGUCGAUUAGAUUACACAUGCCCAACACGUCCCAUCACUAAUCUGAUAAAUCUUGCAGAGAUUAACGCCAUUUUCUCCUGCGUUCUCUUUCUUUCUUCGAGCCACUUGUGUUUUGGCUUAGACGCCACUCUUUCCUCCGUGCCAGCUCUGCGUUAAUCAUCUUCCUCCUCGCUGUACCAAUCUCUUGCUGCGUUUGGGGGGAGCAAAGCGAGCGAGAGGCCGUGAUGGCGGCGGCGGCGGCGGCGGUGCUGCACGCGCUGGUGGCGCUCAGCCUCGCCGGCGCGGUCGCGGCGGCAGGAAGAGGCGGGGAGCAGCCGCUGUCGAGGAUCGGCAUCCACCGGACCACCUUCGCGAUCCAGCCGGGUGCCUCCGUCGACGCCUCGCCGCUCCUCCUCGGCCUCGAGGUACUACAGCUUUCUCAGCAACCUACUGUAUCUACUAGCUCGUCAAUUCAGCACUCGCUGCUGUUUUUUGCUCUUGUACGGACCUAUAUAGUUCGAUGUAGUCAGCCAUUACCACUUACCAGAGCUCGAGAGUUCUGAUCCCAGUUAAUAGUGCCUUAAUUUAGUCGGUCGAGGCAUAUAUUUGCAUUUUGCAGCAUUAGGAUUUAUAGGAGAAUCAAUCAUGAUUUUUUUUUUGAACUUCCAUAGACCCACUGUAUUCAAAUUAUUGGCUACCUUAUCUGUUGCAGGGACAGGACAGAGAAUGGGUGACUCUUACCUAUAACAACCCCAAGCCAUCGAAGGAUGAUUGGAUUGGGGUGUUCUCUCCUGCUAAUUUCAGGUACUUGCAAUCCAAUCAUCCUGAUGCUGGAUGCCUGAAUUGAAUGCUUAAUUAAGACAGCAAGAAAGAAGUUGAGAUCUUAUUUAUAUUUUGCCUUUUUGGCAAUUUACCAGUGAUUCUACUUGUCCAUCAGAGAGCCAAUGGGUUGAACCACCACUUCUAUGUACAGCUCCCAUAAAGGUUAGUGUUACAUCCAGUUAGCCUUAUUCCAUGUGAACUGUAGAUGAGACUUCAGAAAACUUGCCAAUAACAUAUGCUGAAGGAGGCACAAUUUUUUGGCAGUUUAUAUUUGCAAACUACAAGAAUCUUGACUAUGAGAAGACAGGAAAGGGAUCCAUGAAGCUUCAGCUAAUCAAUCAGAGGGAGGAUUUUUCAUUUGCAUUGUUUUCUGGAGGCCUCUCAAAUGUAUGUGCCAAAUUCUCCUCAUUUAUUUAGUGUGAAAACUUAUUGUUGAACGAUUCAGUUACCAUGGUGGUAUUUCUUGUAUAUUUUGUCUUUUCUAGUUAAAAUACAAUGUGACUGAACUAUUAUAUGGUCUAACUUGCCUAUGCCAUGUCUUAUAUAACCUCACAGCCAAAGCUCAUUGCACACUCAAAGAGAGUAACCUUCACGAACCCAAAGGCCCCUGUGUACCCACGCCUAGCGCAAGGAAAAUCCUGGAAUGAAGUAAGUAUCAUCUUGUUAAGUAUUCCAUAAGUAAUGAAGUGAGUCUCAAUUGAGCAUCCUAGCCUGUGAUCUGCAAAGGAAAAUAUCAUUGCGGACAGAAAUAAAAUUUCGUUUAUGGUCCUUUAGCACUUUUCAAUGCAAGUAACCUAUUUUUUUAAUGGAAUAUGUUUAUGAGCUCGAAUGUCAAAGCAACAAAAACAGGAAUGUAAGACAUCUCAGAUUGUUCCAUUUAAGUGAUAUUUUUUUCUUCCGAAAUAGUGUUUGCUUGUCUGCGUUGCUUAUGAAACAAAUGGGCACCAAAGUGCUUCUGCAAAUCAGAUCAUACCAUGUUUACAGAAUAAUGACUGAUGUUAAGUGAUUCUAGAUGACAGUGACUUGGACAAGUGGAUAUGGCACCAAUGAGGCUACACCAUUUGUCAAAUGGGGCCUACAAGGGCAAAUCCAAAGCCUUUCUCCUGCAGGCACCCUUACGUUCAGUCGCAGCACUAUGUGCGGUGAGUAAAUUUUCAUUAUGUUUUUACUUGCUCAGAGUAAUAAUCCCCCAUUAGUGCUGACAAGUGACAACUAAAAAAGAAACACAUCUUAGAAUAAUGGUAUAAUGGCAGAGCAGUUGUAGAUCAAAUAACCAUUGACAUGUAACUUUUGACGAACCUAAUAAGAUGAUAACAUUGUCAUGCUUUAUGAUGAUUUUACCACAGGUCCUCCUGCUAGGACAGUUGGAUGGCGCGAUCCUGGUUUCAUACAUACAAGUUUCCUCAAGGAUCUGUGGCCUAAUUUCAAGUAAAUGAGUGUUACACAACCUUGCUUUGUCUGCAUCUGUGCCCUCUGUGGUCCUGUAACUAUUCAUUUGUACAAAUGCAAGUGCCAACAAGUCUUACAAGUGAGUUUGUAUUUCAGGUAUACAUACAGAAUUGGGCAUCGGCUAUCAGAUGGCUCUAUUAUUUGGGGACAUGAGUAUAGCUUCCAAGCACCUCCUUAUCCAGGGGAAGACUCUUUGCAGCGUGUAGUCAUUUUUGGAGAUAUGGGGAAGGUGUGAAUAUGAUACCACUUACAAUGUGCCUGUUUUUCCACGUUUAUCUCCCAAAAGUGCAAUAAAUUAUUAGGUAACUGAUCACUGAAUCGAUAUGGAACUCCAUAGCUAUUCAAAGUUAAUAUGGGAGAUGUAGUACAACUUGUGCUUUAAAUAAAAUCUCUCAAUUAUAUAAAAAAGAUUAGAUAGGGAACAAUUAGCAGAAGGCCACCAAAGUGUGUCUUUAUCUUUAGUUAGUAGUAGUAAAUUGGUAAUGACAAUUAUGCAAGUUAGAAAAGGUUGUACUCUUUAUGAGUUCUAUCAUCUCGAGUCAAACUAACAAAGAAUAAGAUACUUAAGUACCUGCUACUCAUGCUAAAACAAGAGAGAUUAUUUGCUACAAAUUCGCUUUUCUCCUCUGGCCUUAAUUGGCAUUUGAACUCCUUGCACAGGCUGAGGCCGAUGGUUCAAAUGAGUUCAAUGACUUCGAGCCUGGUUCACUGAACACGACCUACCAGCUAAUUAAAGAUUUGAAGAAUAUUGAUAUGGUAAUACAUAUUGGGGACAUCUGCUAUGCCAAUGGUUAUCUGUCACAAUGGGAUCAAUUUACCGCACAAGUUGAACCCAUUGCAUCCAGUGUGCCUUACAUGGUUGGAAGGUACUCCGACUUGACGACAGAAACAAACCAAAGACAAGGUGGAAAUUUCAAACAAUGUUUCUGAUGAUAUUGUUUUGUGCUUGCAGCGGCAACCAUGAAAGAGAUUGGCCUGGAUCAGGUUCCUUCUAUGGGAAUUUGGAUUCAGGUGGUGAAUGCGGUGUACCAGCUCAGAAUAUGUUCUACGUGCCAGCAGAGAACCGUGAGCAAUUCUGGUAGGACAUUUUUUCCCCUGAAUUUUGUGAAAUACUAUACGAAACCUGGAUAUUUUAAGGCGUACCACUCAUACAUGUGACCACUUAUCGAGACAUUCUGGUUCACUAGACGAUCAUGCGUAAACAUGCUUUUCUUAUAUACACAGAUCAACAUUAACAAAUAACAAGCUAUCAUGUUUUUUUAGGCUGUACUAAUAGCUAAAAUUCAUUGAUCUCUCUUACUGAACACAACCAACUCUGCAUAAUCUCAUCUUUCUUAGUACGGUCCAUCAAAAUUCUGAACAAAAAGCUACUACAAAAGAUUAUGGCCCCAAUAACCUGCAGUCCUGCACCUGUUAAACCCUGAGAUCAUCCUUGCAGGUACUCGAUAGACUACGGCAUGUUCCGUUUCUGCAUAGCCAACACCGAGCUCGACUGGAGGCCAGGCACCGAGCAGUACAAGUUCAUCGAGCACUGCUUCUCCUCCGUCGACCGGCAGAAACAGCCGUGGCUCAUCUUCCUCGCCCACCGUGUUCUCGGCUACUCAUCAGCUAGCUUCUACGUCGAGGAGGGCACAACCGAGGAGCCCAUGGGCAGGGAGAGCCUCCAGCCGCUCUGGCAGAAGUACAAGGUCGACAUCGCCAUGUACGGCCAUGUCCAUGGCUACGAGAGAACCUGCCCAGUCUACGAGGUAUAUGAGCACUGUUACUCUUCCGUUCCCAUACAGUUACUAUUCUAGGUUGUUUAGUGUAGAUUAUGAUUUAAAGAGAAGAUUAUAGUGCCCGUCAUUGAAUGGUGUAUGUUUAGGUGUGAGAGAGUAGUUGGAGAUUGGAGAUAGAAUAAAGAGAAAUUUGAAUUGAAUGGUGUAUGGUUAGGUAGUUGAGGGAGGGGCGGAUCCAACGUGGGUGCAGGGGGAACUCUAUACCCAUGGAUACCUCCCGGAGCACUCCUUCGAUUUUUUCACCAUAAAUGAUAAACUAAAGGUCCUUAAAUGGCUAGAGGUUAAAGAAACUGCAUAAUUGAGCCCCCCCUAAUUUUUUUUGUUCCUGGAUCCGCCCUUGUUGAGGGUAUAAUAACGAGAUAUUUGAAUGGAAGGUAAUUGAUAGGGUACUCCCUCCGUCCCAGAAUAUAAGAAAGUAGGUAAAAUUAAAUAGAAAGAUAUUGUGAUUGGUUCAGAAAGAGGUAGGUGGGAAAAGUAGAUAGUGGAUAGUUGUGAUUGGUUAGGAAGAGAAUUAUAGUUAAGAAAUUAUUAUAUUUUGGAGCAAAUUCUGAGUGCUAAAAGUUGUUAUAUUUGGGACGGAGGGAGUAAUAUGAAGUGAUAACUAUUUUGAAAUAAAAUUGAAUCCUACUAUUUUGAGAUAAAAUUUGAAUCACACAGGGACAACUAUUUUAGAAGUAUAGAACGUGAGAACAGCUAAAGUGUAAAGUAUGUGUAUUUCUUGUGAAUUUAUGGCUGUGGCUCUCAUUUUCUGCUUGUGUUUUACUGUGUGUGAAAUGUGUGCAUUCAGAAUGUGUGCGUGGCGAAGGCGGCGAGCCACUACAGCGGCGCGUUCACGGCGACGACGCACGUGGUGGUGGGCGGCGGCGGGGCGAGCCUGGCGGACUACGCCGGCGUACGGGCGCGGUGGAGCCACGUCCAGGACCGGGACUACGGGUUCGCCAAGCUGACGGCCUUCAACCACACGGCGCUGCUGUUCGAGUACGUCCGGAGCCGCGACGGCAGCGUGCACGACAGCUUCACCGUCUCCCGCGACUACCGCGACAUCCUCGCCUGCGGCGUCGACAACUGCCCCACCACCACCCUGGCCUCGUGAGGAUCUCGCCGAAGCUCAGGUUGCUUACUGCUGCUGUGCCGUAAGCCAAUUUGUACAUUGUGACAUUGAGAAUUUGGGAUGCUUGGCUUAUCAAUCCAAUUUGAUCUGAGACUGAAAUAACGGCCGUGAAACGCAACUACGACGCCGGCCGGAGGCAGGCUACGGCGAGCGGCGGCGGACCGGCGGUAGGGGGGAUUCCGCCGUAGUGUCGUUCCUUCACGCUGAAUAGUGGGCCCCCAUGGAAAGCACGCUUAUGGGCCUCAAAACCCAACCUGGCCGAGGAGGCAGCUCCCCCAUCUCACUAAUUGGGCCGUAUUAGUCUCGGCCCACUACCUCGUUCAGGCGAACGUGAUGAUAAAGCGGCCCGGCCCAUCUCUCUGGCUCGCACUCCGCCUCCGCCACCGGCGCGAAAACCCUCCAAAAUUUCUCCCGCCACAGCUCAAAAACCGAGCCAAAAAAAGAAAAACCAGACGCGGCCGUUCGCGCGCGGGGAAGAAGAGGAGAACGCGAAACCCCGCGGCAAAAAUCCCACCGAAACGCCAUCUCCUCCCCCUUCCCGCCCGCGCGCUCGCCUCGCCUCGCCAAACCACGGCGUUAUAAAGGCGCGCGGAUCCAAUCCUCUCCCACUCCCAUUCUCCUCAACUCCAAACCAUUUCCUCCCCAUCGCCGCCGCCGCCGCAGCUGAAUCUUCCCGCGUGAAGCCUUCAACUCGGCUCGGGGAUGGAUUCCGACGCGGCACCGUCAGUGACGCCGGGGGCGGUGGCGUUCGUCCUGGAGAACGCGUCGCCGGACGCGGCCACCGGCGUGCCGGUGCCGGAGAUCGUCCUCCAGGUCGUCGACCUCAAGCCCAUCGGCACCCGCUUCACGUGAGUGUUUCUUGUGUGCGAUUCCUCUUUGAUGAGCGUUCUUGCGAUUCCGCGCCACGGAAAAACUCGCCCAGAUCUGGGUGGGUUCUUGUUCUUCCUCAGCGACGAGUUCCUCACGAUCUCUCUGUUGCGUUGCAGUUUCUUGGCGAGCGAUGGCAAGGACAAGAUAAAGACGAUGCUUCUCACCCAGCUCGCUCCGGAGGUGCGCUCCGGCAACAUCCAGAAUCUCGGCGUCAUCCGCGUCCUCGACUACACCUGCAACACCAUCGGCGAAAAGCAGGAAAAGUACAGAUCCGCGCGCUCCACCUGUCUGAUUCUUCAGACCACUCGCGUUUCUUUGUCUUCUGAAAUCUGAAUCUCUGGUUUUGUUCAUAUGCGUCACAGGGUCUUGAUUAUCACGAAGCUCGAGGUCGUGUUCAAGGCGCUGGAUUCCGAGAUCAAGUGCGAGGCCGAAAAGCAAGAGGAGAAGCCGGCGAUUCUGUUGAGUCCCAAGGAGGAAUCCGUGGUUCUCUCCAAGCCCACGAACGCGCCGCCACUUCCUCCGGUUGUGCUGAAGCCCAAGCAGGAGGUGAAGUCCGCGUCCCAGAUCGUGAACGAGCAGCGCGGCAAGUAAGCGAUUCUUGCGAGAUCCCCAUCUCUCUUGUUCAGUUGUUUCUGAUGCAGAAUUGUUGGUGAGACUAACCUGCCGAUUCUUGAUGCCUUCCUGUUUGCAGUGCUGCUCCUGCGGCGCGGUUGGCCAUGACGAGAAGAGUUCAUCCUUUGAUCUCCCUGAACCCCUACCAGGGCAACUGGAUCAUCAAGGUGCGUGUCACAAGCAAGGGCAACCUGAGGACGUACAAGAAUGCUCGUGGUGAAGGCUGCGUCUUCAAUGUGGAGCUCACUGAUGUGGAUGUAAGUGCAACCUACCGUGAAAUGUUUAUUCCGUAGGAUGUAAUUGCAGUUCAUGAGCAAUUCUGAAUUCUUGUAUGUUGAUUGAUGAGUUAAUUUUGUUGGAUCUGUGUACAGGGCACCCAGAUCCAGGCAACCAUGUUCAACGAGGCUGCCAAGAAGUUCUAUCCGAUGUUUGAGCUGGGGAAGGUGUACUACAUCUCCAAAGGAUCUCUCAGAGUCGCCAACAAGCAGUUCAAGACUGUCCAUAAUGACUACGAGAUGACCCUGAAUGAGAAUGCUGUUGUUGAGGAAGCUGAGGGCGAAACUUUUAUCCCACAGAUUCAGUACAACUUUGUCAAGAUUGAUCAGCUAGGGCCAUAUGUUGGUGGCAGGGAGCUAGUAGGUAAGGCAAUAGUGCUUUCAGUUCAGUGAUGUGUUCUUGUUCCUACUUUGUGAAUGUAGUGUUCUGACUAGUUUUACCCUACUUGCAGAUGUUAUUGGGGUUGUUCAGAGCGUAUCUCCUACUCUUAGUGUUAGGAGGAAGAUUGACAACGAGACGAUUCCAAAGCGUGACAUCGUUGUAGCGGAUGACUCGUAAGCAUCAUUUGGCUUGUUAACUCCUUUCUUUUGAUGAUGUGAAUGCUCUUUAUGUUUUAUGUGCUGAUAACUUACAUUUAAUCUGAUGGCAGGAGCAAAACUGUAACCAUAUCUCUUUGGAAUGAUCUUGCCACAACUACUGGUCAGGAGCUCUUGGACAUGGUAGACUCUGCGCCUAUCAUUGCGAUAAAGAGCCUAAAAGUAUCUGACUUCCAAGGUAUGUUUGUGUUACCUUCCUGCAUGUGGUAGGAUCUGAAUUGGCGAUUAUGUGCUAACAGCAUUACUACUAUAAUGUCGACAGGUUUGUCUCUGUCAACUGUGGGGAGAAGUACAAUUGUAGUGAAUCCUGACUUGCCUGAGGCAGAACAGCUCAGAGCUUGGUAUUGUCCUAAUCUCAAACACUCCUUUUAUUAUCUUUCAAACUAUCUACUUUGGUCCUUGACGUUAUUUUGGCAAACAGGUAUGACUCUGAAGGCAAGGGUACUUCAAUGGCAUCAAUUGGUUCAGAUAUGGGCGCAUCAAGGGUUGGUGGCGCGAGAUCCAUGUACAGUGAUAGAGUUUUUCUGUCUCACAUCACAAGUGACCCCAACUUGGGUCAGGAUAAGGUAAAAUCUUGGAAUCUUUGAAAGAAAAUGGAAUUGUUCUUGAUGUUUAGUUUAUUAGCACUUUCUAGUUGUGAUUGUCCUAAAUUUACUUGUUAUGUUUUGCAGCCUGUGUUCUUCAGUCUGAAUGCCUAUAUUAGCCUUAUCAAGCCUGACCAAACCAUGUGGUACCGAGCUUGCAAGACCUGCAACAAGAAGGUGACUGAGGCAAUUGGAUCAGGAUACUGGUGUGAAGGGUGCCAGAAGAAUGAUGCUGAGUGCUCACUGAGGUAAAACUUUGGGCUGAAUUACACCGUGCAUGCUUGAAUUUGAGAUGAUACAAAGCCAAAGCUAAUGCUACACUGGUUCCUUUCUUCAGGUACAUCAUGGUCAUCAAGGUCUCCGACCCUACUGGUGAGGCCUGGCUUUCUCUGUUCAAUGAUCAGGCAGAGAGGAUUGUUGGCUGCAGUGCAGAUGAGCUUGAUCGGAUUAGGAAGGAGGUAAUUUUGCCAAUCCCACAGUAACUUUGAUUCACCUUCGUGUAAAUUCUAGGCUUUAGUUUAACUUUGUGCGAAUUCCAGGCUGUAGUUCAAGCUUGUGCGAAUUCUAGGCUUCAGUUCAACUUUGUGCAGAUUCUAGGCUUUAGUUUUCUACAUGCCUAAGAUUGCUAUUUAAGCUGUGCCUAAGAUUGUUGGUCUCAAUUGUUUCAGGAGGGUGAUGACAGUUACCUUCUCAAGCUGAAGGAAGCUACUUGGGUUCCUCACCUGUUCCGCGUCAGCGUAACUCAGAAUGAGUACAUGAAUGAGAAGAGGCAGAGGAUCACUGUGAGGAGUGAAGCUCCGGUAGACCACGCAGCUGAAGCCAAGUACAUGCUCGAGGAGAUAGCCAAGCUGACAGGUUGCUAGAUGCAAAAUUAUCGGUGAAGCUUGAAGAGUCCAUGAAAGCUUAGAUGCAGUGUUUCGGUGAAGCUUUUGAAGUGCCUGUCCAUGAAAGCUUUUGAGGUGUAAUAGCUUUAUAAAUUAUGGUUUCUCCACUGCAAUUAGGUGCUAGCUAGUAUUAGCCUUUUGUAUUAUAGGUAGAUGCAUGCUUAACUUGUUUUUGAGGCAACCAGAAUGUGAUGCUGUUAUACAGCCGUUUUAUCUUCAAAUGUGAUGGUUGCCUGGACAGAUUGUGAAAUUGAUAAUUGGAAUCAGUAACUGGUUGAUGUUAAUUUCCUAUAUACAUUGUUCCCAUGUAUGCCAGACUUCCACAGAUGCUUGCACAGUUGCACUUACAGAUUAGUCUCUGUUGUGCACUCCUUUGGGUUGAUCAUACUUUGUAGCAUUUGUCUGCACUAGCCGUAUCUAGUGUUUUACAAUCAUUCUUUGUAGCAUUUGGGUUGAUCAUACUUUCAAUUUUUUUUAAAGAUCUGUCUGAAAUUCAUUGGUUUUUGUCGGUGGUUUCCGUGGUUAUUCGGUAUCAGGAUUUUGACAUCUCCAUGGGUCAUGCUGCUGACUGGCUGGGAAAUUUGCAAGUAGUAGCUUGAACAUACUACGAGUCCAGGAGAUCUUUGUUGCCAGAGUAACUUGCACUAGGAUGAAUUUGUCACAACCUGCAUGAACAAAAGCAGCUGCAGGAACCAUUUAACAAUGAUCAAUGGAGCCAUGUUAACCACUUUUUAUGUCAGCAGGAGCAAAUCUCCCGCUGUCUCCUUAGCAUAAUAAACACUUGUAACAUUAAGACAAGUCUCACAAUCAGAUUCUACUCUGAACUGAAUUCUGAAGCUAAGGUGAAGGGCUGACUGAAGCUAUAGUAACACUUGCAAGAGCAGCAGUGAGCUGACAGAGAGGUUCAGUAUAAGGAUGGCGGGAUAGGGUUGACGACGAUAUGCCGAAGCGGGUUCGCGACAUCUCCACCUCCGGCGUGCUUCACAAACUCAGCAGGGGUCAGGAAGCUGCCAUGGCAAACACAGACAAUCCUCACCUCCUCGCCUUUCCUGUACUUGUACAGGAAGCCUUCAACCCUCUUGCCAUUGGGGAGCCCCUUGGUGCACACGCAUGGCAUCUCCUGCAUCAUGAUCCUCUCCACAUCUCCCAUGCUCUUGGCUCUUGCCGCAACUCUUCCUGUAGCACGCAGCUGCUCUCCCCUGGAAGCAAGAGCUACUGCCCUCACCGCCAGUGCCGAAAAUGGCGGUGUUGCUAUGGCUGCUCCAUUUCGGUGCUCAGUAGCGGCCGAUGGAACGUUGUGCUCUUCGGCAUCAGCAGAUCCUGGAAGGACAGACAAACAGGCCUUAAUGAGAAACAUAAGCAAACCUCAUGAAAGGAAGUAAGGAAGUAAGGAAGGAUGACCAAUUGCUGAUAUUUUCAUCUAAUAACAUAACCUAUUGAUCCUUGUCAUACAUGUUUUGUGUGGACCCUCCAUACUUUCAAGUCUGGAAGUAGUUUCCAUCCUUUGACCGGAGGCAGGGCCAUGCAAUCCAGGCCACUAAAUUAGGCAUUUGUUACAACAUAAUUUAUUUUAGUCGAUCUGCCAUUUAGGAAAAAAAACAUUGCGCACAGCGGCUAACAACAUAACAGUAUCUGGCACCAACCAUCCAUGCCCAGUUCACAUUCAAGACAUUUGACUUGAAACUCGCACAAAUGAGAGCAAUAUAAAUAAAUUGAGCAUCUAAAAGCCCUCAGACAUGAGAGAUCUACAUGAACAUAAUGGAGGGGCAAAAGUUGUGACAAGCAUAAAGAACAAAACAUGAAACUACAAAAUAGUGCAAUAUCAUAUCAAACAAUCAUGCUUGAAGCUAGAUUGACAAGAAAAUAUUUUCACGUAUCUAUAAUGCAAAACGACAAAACAAAUGCAAAACGACAAAACGUAAGCGGUUUACCUUUCAUAGCUGGAAUAUGCUUUGUUGGUAUUCCGGACAGACUGCCACGUUGUUGAGUAUACGUGGCACGGUGGACUGGAGGAAGUCCAGUGCAGCGGUUUCUAUCACUGCUAUGGUUCACAUUUCCUCCCGUCUUCUUAUUGCCUGUAGCAACAUCAUCGCAACUUUCUACUUUCUCAGCUCCUGCAUUCAUCUCCUCUAAUAUCUGCCCAACAGCCUCUUUGGAAAUGUUGGAAGUGAGAGAGUUCCUCCUCUCAAUUCUCUUCCUCUUCACUUCGAGUCGCUUCAGACUCUGAGCCUCCUUUCGCUUCCUCCAUUCAUCCUCGAUGCCGGCAGGGAGUGAACUUGUUCUCAUGAGAGUGUCUGUCAUAUUCACUACGAAAGAGAAAACAUGGUUAGUUAAACUGUUCCGGAAUCUGCCAUAUUCUAAAUUAAACAGAAAACUGUAAGUUUCAGAAUAUGAGAUAAACUGCCCGAAAGAAAUGGGUUAAACUAAAUUUGUUCGGUAACAUUCUUAUCGUACUCCCUUUGCAUGUUUUGUUUUCUUUUGGAAAUAUGUAAUAUCGUAGCUACGCAAUGUACUCCCUCCGAUCAAAUUUAUUUGGCGUUUGGAGUUCGGACCACAAUUGGCCCAACAUCAAUGACAAAAUAGGCCCAGAACAAUAUAUCGGCAUGUCUGGCUAAACGAUAGGUUAGAACGGGAAGAACAAGACACUUCAAAAGCAAUGUGAGCAUAAGGCUUUACUAAUACGAUUCUAGAUUCUAGAAACAUUCCUAGCACUACUUCACUUGGUGUAUAAGCAAGAGUAAGGUCCAAUUCCAUGAAUAGCUGCAUUCCACCAUCUUUUGUUUUUCACAGUUGUCCGUUGAUAGGAGCUGUCUCUACCGACCUUUCGAACUCGUCUGUUUUGAACGCAAGUCCACUAGGUUGUUACAGUCAAGGGGUCUUCAUCUUUUGCGCGACAAUGAAAUUACAUCCAUUGACGCCAACUAUGGACUUUACUAUUGUCGACCAAUCCUUCCUAAUUCACUUUUCUUAGGAAAAAUGGUAUGUUUUCCCUUAAACCAGACCAGUAGUAAAGUAAUAUCUGAAUCCUCCCAGACCGCAGGAGAUAGUUGCCUAUCCUGCAGCUCACCAAUUUCACAUGCAUCUAGGAGCUCAUGCUGGGCAGGUUCAGAUUACUUACUGUCCACAGCCCUAAUGCAAUGUCAGAACCAGAAGUUAGCGACAAGUUGGAAGGGGAGGGCAUGCAACAUGCAAACUCUAGUACCAAAUCGCACUAGAAUUGGAAAAUUUAGGAAUGUCUUCUAAUGUUAUUUUUGUUUCAUCUCAUCAUAUAUGGCAGCAUUAAAAUGUAGUGUGCACAAUGUGCGAGUAAAGCUCCAUUCUUACAUCAUCACACCUAUAUGGUAAUUUGAAAAAUACAACACAACUAACGGGCUAUUAGCUGCCUGUGAGGCUUGGCGUCUAAAGCCUAGUUAGCUACCCAGGUAGCAUCAACCUUGAUUCAACACCUACAUAUGUACAUUGUGCUGUUGCACCUGCUAUUAUUGUUGUUAAAUAUUAGAUAAUGAAACAAAAUGUAAUUAACAUCAACCGUCGCUGAACCCAACUUGAAUUGCUCCAUAAUUAGCCAAUGUUUGCGAGCUCCAUGUACAUUUCCACCAUGAAUUUGCUACCUGUUAUUCGGAGUAACACAAAAACAAAUCUGCUGAUGUCCUUUGUUGCUAAUAUGCUAAUAGAACAUCUUGUAUUAUUUCUGGAAGCUUCAAAAUAAACACCGCAUUAGGUUAGGCUACCACUAACAAAGGGUACCAACAUCCAUCCAAAGACGUAACUCAAUGUCUAUGUAAAGCUCUUGCUUGCUGUCAUUAAUGAGAGGAAUACAUACAUAGAUUGCAUUACAAGGAUCAAAAUCAUUAUUGACUAAGAAGUGAGGUGUGAUUAGUUCACCAUAAAAAAAUUAUGCCUCCCCCAAAAAGCUAGUUUCUAUUUGAGAGUUGAAAUUCAUAUAUUUUACUUUAACUACCAUUUUUAAAAUUUUCAAAUUAUCAAAAAUAUGUUCUUGACGUUAACAAAAUGGUGUUCACACCUCCCUUGGAAAUAAAAUGCUAUGCAACCAAUUAACACUUGAAUCCACACAUAGGACACGUUUCUUUCUGCUGUUGAAGUAGUGCGAUUAUUAAGUAAUAAGAGAAACUAUGUAUUAGAAGAAACUUGGUAACCAGUAACCACUCUGUAUCUAAUUACUAUUUCAGAUCUUAGUUGUAUGAAAGACUUCUUCAAUUUCUACCAUGCAUGCUACCCAGGCUCAAACUAAUUCUGCUAACUGCUGAUGACUGAGUGUUAAGUUUCUUUCAUGUGAGGAAGAGUAUCUAUGAAUUGAGCAAAGGCAAAGCAUAAUUAGUCUUCCUUAAUCUAGAAACAUAAAAGAUGAUUUUUCCUUAAUCUCGAGUGCUUAUCGUCAUUUGUUCAUCACUGUAAACACUGCACCACGUCCACGUGUCCUGCCACUAGUCACUGAACUGUGGUAAUAAUCUUCACGGAUAAAAAAAAAAAGCUUGCUGAAUCUGAUUGCUUAGUUGAAUAAGAUCUAUGAAUUCAGUUCACUACAAAGUUAUCCAUUCUAGCAGUUAUCCAUAUUUACUUAAUUCCCAUCCUCACCCUUUGGGUUAAAAAGAUUGUAGGCGUUCCUAUAAAAGGAGUACUGAAGAAAGUCUACUGCAGGUGAAAUUAGAAAGUUACAGAACAAGGAAGAAUACCCAUUAAGAUUCUUUUUGCGCGUGUCAUGUGACUUAAAGGGCUACUUGACAAGAACAGAUAUCCUGAAACUGACUUGCCAAGCCAGCAGCACGAUCCUAAAAACUAUAUACUGAUAGCAACCACAUUUUUAGAUGAUGGAAGCAACAGUUGUAAACAGAAAUUUUUUUUUUCAAGAGGGGUAAAACAGACGAAUUUCACUGUUGGAUAAUUUAAGCUGUAAAUCGAAAUUACAGUCCUCGGUGUUAACGAGGAAGCACCAGUGAUGGAAGAUCUCAUUAGCUUUGCCAAAGACCAACGCCCAAGCAUCUUAAUCCAAACUUUAUUUACCACCAGGACGUCAGGUAAAUGACAUAUGGCAGGGCAAUUUCACAUUUCCCAAUGUGCAUUUCACCUUGAAUUCACCCAAACAAUUCGUGUCUAAUUUGCAUAAUUAGCAGCAUAUAUUACCAAAGAAUCGCAAUUAACAUCGGUUAGGUAUGAAAUCAUAAAAGCUAAAGAUAGAUAGAUAGCACACGCCCCCAUGGAGAGAAGCGAUGACGCACCUUCAAGCCUGCGCCCUUCGCCGUCCGACGAGCCCGAUGACGGGCUCCCGCUCGCCGGCAGCCUCGCCGCCGCGGGCUCCGCCUCCGCGCCGCCGCUCGGGCGGCGACAGUUCAAUUCAUCCACACCCUGCUUUUUCGCCGCCUCCGCGGCGGCCACGGUCGGCAGCGAGCUCGUCCUGAAGAGCCCGGACGGCGGCGCCGACGGCUCCGUCGGCGCCGCCAAGAUGGCCGCGACCGACGACGACCUGGCGAGCUUCUCCCCUCUCCUGUCCAGCCCGAACCGGCCGCCGAGCGACAGCCCGAGGUUGAGCUCCACCUCCUCAGCCUCCAUGUCCACGCGCGGCCUCACCUCGCCGCGGGGCCCGUCUCCUCCCUUGCCGAUGCCGCACAGCAAGUCCCUCGAGAAGCCCUCCAUUCCGGCAAGCUAGCUAGCCAGCAAUCACAGCAAGCUCUCGCAUCCGAGAAGAAGAAGAAGAAGCGCCUGGCGUGAACCAAGAAACAGGGGAACACCAACGGUGGUGAGCCAAGAACUGACCGAGCGAGUAAUCCGCCAUUGCUGCCGCCCGCCGCGGCGAGAGAGAGAGAGAGAGAGAGAGAGAGAGAGAGAGAGAGAGAGAGGAAGAUGCGACUUACGAGGAUUCCUUGAGGGACUAGGUGGCCGCCAUUGCGGGGAACGCGCGCCCUCGCCUGCGCCUCUCCGCGGCGGAGAUGGGAAGGGAGGAGGAGGAGAAGAGAGAGAGGAAGGAAAAAAAAAAUCCUCCUUUUCGGGGUCGGCUCGCUUUCGCUUUUGGGGCGUGGGGUUUCGUCGGAACGGCAAACACCCCCGGACGCGGCGCGCGACACGUGUCGACCCAUCGACGACGCGUGGCGCGGCUCGCGCGCCACCUCGCGAGGAGCCGAGAGCCGAAGCCGACCAGGCCGCGGCGGGACAAACACCGCAGCUCGGGCUCACGGCUCAAGCCGACCAUCGCCGUAGCCGACACGUGCCUUGAAAAUUGAAAUAGAGGGGAGCCGAGCCGAGCCGAGAUCAGAAAAAAGACCACCACCUCCCA